UACGGGGGGGGGCAAGCGUUGUUCGGAAUUACUGGGCGUAAAGGGCUCGUAGGCGGCCAACUAAGUCAGACGUGAAAUCCCCAGGCUCAACCUGGGAACUGCGUCUGAUACUGGAUGGCUAGAGGUUGGGAGAGGGAUGCGGAAUUCCAGGUGUAGCGGUGAAAUGCGUAGAUAUCUGGAGGAACACCGGUGGCGAAGGCGGCAUCCUGGACCGAGAUUGACGCUGAGGCGCGAAAGCCAGGGGAGCAAAGCGGG
rnacentral:rRNA from 1 species